GUAGGGAAUCUUCCACAAUGGGCGCAAGCCUGAUGGAGCAACACCGCGUGAGUGAAGAAGGGUUUCGGCUCGUAAAGCUCUGUUGUUAGAGAAGAACGUGCGUGAGAGCAACUGUUCACGCAGUGACGGUAUCUAACCAGAAAGUCACGGCUAACUACGUGCCAGCAGCCGCGGUAAUACGUAGGUGGCAAGCGUUAUCCGGAUUUAUUGGGCGUAAAGCGAGCGCAGGCGGUUUGAUAAGUCUGAUGUGAAAGCCUUUGGCUUAACCAAAGAAGUGCAUCGGAAACUGUCAGACUUGAGUGCAGAAGAGGACAGUGGAACUCCAUGUGUAGCGGUGGAAUGCGUAGAUAUAUGGAAGAACACCAGUGGCGAAGGCGGCUGUCUGGUCUGCAACUGACGCUGAGGCUCGAAAGCAUGGGUAGCGAACAGGAUUAGAAACCCUGGUAGUCC
rnacentral:rRNA from 1 species